UUCCACACUUGAACUUUGUACUCUCGACC
rnacentral:sRNA from 1 species